rnacentral:rRNA from 1 species
ACGAACGCUGGCGGCGUGCCUAAUACAUGCAAGUUGAGCGAUGAAGAUUGGUGCUUGCACCCAUUUGAAGAGCAGCGAACGGGUGAGUAACGCGUGGGGAAUCUGCCUUUGAGCGGGGGACAACAUUUGGAAACGAAUGCUAAUACCGCAUAACAACUUUAAACAUAAGUUUUAAGUUUGAAAGAUGCAAUUGCAUCACUCAAAGAUGAUCCCGCGUUGUAUUAGCUAGUUGGUGAGGUAAAGGCUCACCAAGGCGAUGAUACAUAGCCGACCUGAGAGGGUGAUCGGCCACAUUGGGACUGAGACACGGCCCAAACUCCUACGGGAGGCAGCAGUAGGGAAUCUUCGGCAAUGGACGAAAGUCUGACCGAGCAACGCCGCGUGAGUGAAGAAGGUUUUCGGAUCGUAAAACUCUGUUGGUAGAGAAGAACGUUGGUGAGAGUGGAAAGCUCAUCAAGUGACGGUAACUACCCAGAAAGGGACGGCUAACUACGUG